rnacentral:rRNA from 1 species
AUUGAACGCUGGCGGCAGGCUUAACACAUGCAAGUCGAGCGGAGCGAGGGUGCUUGCACCUUAGCUUAGCGGCGGACGGGUGAGUAAUGCUUAGGAAUCUGCCUAUUAGUGGGGGACAACAUUCCGAAAGGAAUGCUAAUACCGCAUACGCCCUACGAGGGAAAGCAGGGGAUCUUCGGACCUUGCGCUAAUAGAUGAGCCUAAGUCGGAUUAGCUAGUUGGUGGGGUAAAGGCCUACCAAGGCGACGAUCUGUAGCGGGUCUGAGAGGAUGAUCCGCCACACUGGGACUGAGACACGGCCCAGACUCCUACGGGAGGCAGCAGUGGGGAAUAUUGGACAAUGGGCGGAAGCCUGAUCCAGCCAUGCCGCGUGUGUGAAGAAGGCCUUUUGGUUGUAAAGCACUUUAAGCGAGGAGGAGGCUACUUAGAUUAAUACUCUGGGAUAGUGGACGUUACUCGCAGAAUAAGCACCGGCUAACUCUGUGCCAGCAGCCGCGGUAA